rnacentral:rRNA from 1 species
CAGCGCCGCGGUAAUACAGAGGGUGCGAGCGUUAAUCGGAUUUACUGGGCGUAAAGCGUGCGUAGGCGGCUUUUUAAGUCGGAUGUGAAAUCCCUGAGCUUAACUUAGGAAUUGCAUUCGAUACUGGGAAGCUAGAGUAUGGGAGAGGAUGGUAGAAUUCCAGGUGUAGCGGUGAAAUGCGUAGAGAUCUGGAGGAAUACCGAUGGCGAAGGCAGCCAUCUGGCCUAAUACUGACGCUGAGGUACGAAAGCAUGGGGAGCAAACAGGAUUAGAUACCCCAGUAGUCCCUGUCUCUUAUACA